rnacentral:rRNA from 1 species
GACGGACGCUGGCGGCGUGCUUAACACAUGCAAGUCGAACGAAGAGCGAUGGAAGCUUGCUUCUAUCAAUCUUAGUGGCGAACGGGUGAGUAACGCGUAAUCAACCUGCCCUUCAGAGGGGGACAACAGUUGGAAACGACUGCUAAUACCGCAUACGAUCUAACCUCGGCAUCGAGGAUAGAUGAAAGGUGGCCUCUACAUGUAAGCUAUCACUGAGGGAGGGGAUUGCGUCUGAUUAGCUAGUUGGAGGGGUAACGGCCCACCAAGGCGAUGAUCAGUAGCCGGUCUGAGAGGAUGAACGGCCACAUUGGGACUGAGACACGGCCCAGACUCCUACGGGAGGCAGCAGUGGGGAAUCUUCCGCAAUGGACGAAAGUCUGACGGAGCAACGCCGCGUGAGUGAUGACGGCCUUCGGGUUGUAAAGCUCUGUUAAUCGGGACGAAAGGCCUUCUUGCGAAUAGUGAGAAGGAUUGACG